rnacentral:misc_RNA from 1 species
GAAGUGCGAUAAGUAGUGUGAAUUGCAGAAUUCAGUGAAUCAUCGAAUCUUUGAAAGCACAUUGCGCCCCUUGGUAUUCCAUGGGGCAUGCCUGUUCGAGCGUCAUUUGUACCCUCAAGCUCUGCUUGGUGUUGGGUGUUUGUCCCCGUCUCCGCGCGUGGACUCGCCCCAAAGUGAUUGGCAGCCGGCGUACUGGUCCCGGAGCGCAGCACAUGUCGCGCAAACGAGUGCCUUGGUACGGCGGCGUCCAUAAGCCCCUCUCUCACGCUCUUGACCUCGGAUCAGGUAGGGAUACCCGCUGAACUUAAGC